rnacentral:rRNA from 1 species
UACGUAGGGUGCGAGCGUUGUCCGGAAUUACUGGGCGUAAAGAGCUCGUAGGUGGUUUGUCGCGUUGUUCGUGAAAACUCACAGCUCAACUGUGGGCGUGCGGGCGAUACGGGCAGACUGGAGUACUGCAGGGGAGACUGGAAUUCCUGGUGUAGCGGUGGAAUGCGCAGAUAUCAGGAGGAACACCGGUGGCGAAGGCGGGUCUCUGG